rnacentral:misc_RNA from 1 species
UUUCCGUAGGUGAACCUGCGGAAGGAUCAUUAUUGAAUAACCGAGGUGCGAGGGCUGUCGCUGACCCGAAAGGUCGUGCACGCCCGAGUGCCCUCACACACAUCCAUCUCACCCCUGUGUGCACCACCGCGUGGGUCCCCCUUUGGCUUGUUCGGAGGGGGGCUUACGUUUUCACACAAACUUUGUAUGCAGUGUAGAAUGUAUUUUUUGUUUUUGCGAUCACGCAAUCAAUACGACUUUCAACAACGGAUCUCUUGGCUCUC